CCUAGGGGAGGCAGAAGAGGGGAAUUUUGGACAAUGGGGGCAACCCUGAUCCAGCCAUCCCGCGUGAGUGAAGAAGGCCUUCGGGUUGUAUCGUCUACACACGAAAGGAAAGAAACGAUACAGUCUAAUAAACUGUGUUAAUGACGGUACCUUGAUAAGAAGCACCGGCUAACUAUGUGCCAGCAGCCGCGGUAAU
rnacentral:rRNA from 1 species